rnacentral:lncRNA from 1 species
CGCGAAGUGGGUUCGACCGUGGUAACCCGGAGCAACCACCGAGUGACUCGGAGGACGCAAACGAGGACGACGAAAACAUUCCAGAUCUUCGUCCUCUCUUUGUCUGAGAUCAAGAUGUUUUGGACAAUUGGGCUAUUGUUAUGUUUAACCUUAAUACCUGCUACAGCCGUGUCAGAUCUAGAACAGCGUUUGCGCUAUAAUAUUUGGAUGCGACUGGCUAAUGUGCUUAAUCAAUCUGAAUUUUGUUUGAGUGUUGCACCCGAUAUGCAUGGCCUGUUGGGAACAUGCCUUGUACCUGUUUGCAAAGGACCUGGGGAAAUACCUAUAACAAACACCUCCGGCCUGUGUAACCUGAUCGAUUGCCAUGUACCUGGUAAAGCGUUCAAUAAAUCAAUGAUACAAUAUACCUCGCUAUUAGACUGGGGUACCCCCAGUUAUUCUCUCCGCCCGGAUGCUGUGCAACUUUAUACCCCUUUUGUUGCCAAUCAUGCCAAUAAUACUUGCGCACGCAUAGUAAAUUGCUCCUAUCAUCGCCCAACAAAGGGCUGUUUAUCUACUGGGCCAGCACGAUGGAACUGUACAACCCUUCUAAAUGUCACCAGCAAUUAUGGUCAUAUCCCCCUGCCUAGUGGGUGGUUUUUUACCUGCGGGAGUCGUACGUUUAAUUACGUUCCUGCCAACCUAUCUACCACUCAGUGUUGUCUUAGUCGCCUGGUCCCUAUUAUGCCCUCAAAAACUUUACUUGAUCGAACCAUUCAUUCACGAACUAAACGGCGUGCAUCCCCUCUAACCCCUACAUGUAAUGGAAAUGUAACCCUGCUUAGUCAGGCUGAAUAUAUUUCUUUAGCCGCUUCAUUGGUGGGUCUUCCGGGUUUAGCAGUAGGGUAUGGAAAUAAUUUGGCCGAACUUGCCUGCUUGUUAGCAAAAACUAUUAACACCACAUCUAGUGCUAUAGGAUUAUUAAACCAGGAACAGCAGGAAUUAAGGCACGCUGUCCUGGAUAACAGAGC